GAGAAAAUACAAAGAGAAUAUACAUACAAAAUAUAUGGAGGAUAGUAAUAGAAAAAAGAAAUAUUUAUUUGUAUAUCUCUGCAGUCGGAUUUUGUCAUCUUCCAAUAUAGGUUCGAGUUGUGUUUAAAGUUUAAACUGCCUUGUAUGCACACAUAACAGUAGCAAGUGCAUUCAGAUGGGGGCCUUUCUAUAGCUCGAGAUCCAUGGCUACAAAAGGUCGAGCUUUAAACUGAUUGUGUCCAGCUUGCUUAAAAAUGGAAACGCAAACUUAAUGCUUUCCAAGGAGUUUCUAGAUGAUUGUCACAAGAAAUCGUACUGUCCUGUUUUUCUUUUGUAGGAACUUGUGUUUACAAAACAAGGCACUCCACAUGAAUGCUUGCAUGCUUUGUGUACCAAUCAAAGGGUAUAAUAAUAAUCUCAUUUUUUUCCCAAGUCAAAUCUGUCUGUGUCUGUCACCUCCUUGCAAUGCGUCGGGAGGCGACAUACUUGUAAAGGUACUUUGAUGUUUAAGUCAAAUAUCAAUAUAGUAAAUGAGAACAAUAAUGAAAAUGAACAAUGAUUUUAUCUCAAAAAUCUCAUCCUUUAUAUACACAUAUUAAUGAGCCUUUGAAUCCAUGGACCUUACCUAUUGCUAAUGCAAUGGUAAUCCUUCAUUAUCUGAUAAUAUUGCCUUGAUGAGGAUUAUGCUUCUAAUGAUGUUAUUGCCUAUUGUAGUAAAGGCCGAACAGUCCUAAAGUGGUCGAGUAUUGUUCAGUCAUAUAGUUUUAAAGGGGUUGGUAGGCUCUUGUGGGGUAUUUUUCUGUUUUCUUCACCUCUUUUGAUGUUACUAUUUAUUUUCCGUACUCAUAUAAUUGUUGAUGUUAAUGUGCACGUUAGAUAAUUCAUGAUAAAGAAUUUUUGUAGUUCAUAUUUAGUAUAUUGGCAUGACUCAUAAGAAAUAAGUAUUGUUCAUAUUUUAGAAUCUUAAAGAACAUAUAUCUGAUUUUUAAUCCAUAUAUUAUUAUAUUAUUUAUGAAUUUUGUGCAUUUUGGCUUUUAGUUUUAAGAAUAAAUUAUGCUCACACCUUGAUAGCAAGCCAACUAGCAACCCAGACACUACCAAGCCCAAGAGAACACGCAUGAGACCCCAAUACCUUAAUGAUUACAUGUAGUUGAUAGAGUAGAAGAAGACAAAGUCAUUAGAUAAUUACACCACUACAAAUCAAUUGUAAACACCAUAAAUACCACCAAUAGUAAUGAAAUCAAUGGAGUAUUUUCCACAAUUCCAUUAGCAAUAUAGCAAUUUAGACAUUUAUCAUAGAUAGUUACCUUAUCAAUUGGUCUGACCUGCCUCAGGCAUCCUUCACGCCAUACCUGAGCACAAUACUCGCCAUGCAACCAUUGAUCGCCCCGAGGAGGCCGUCAGAUGCCUUACCUAGAACC
rnacentral:lncRNA from 1 species